rnacentral:rRNA from 1 species
GACGAACGCUGGCGGCGUGCUUAACACAUGCAAGUCGAACGGUGAAGCGCCUUCCUUUUUGGUGGGUGUGGAUGAGUGGCGAACGGGUGAGUAACACGUGAGUAACCUGCCCCCUUCUUCUGGAUAACCGCAUGAAAGUGUGGCUAAUACGGGAUAUUCUGGGUCUGUCGCAUGAUGGGUCUGGGAAAGAUAUUGUUUCGGUGGGGGAUGGGCUCGCGGCCUAUCAGCUUGUUGGUGGGGUGAUGGCCUACCAAGGCGGUGACGGGUAGCCGGCCUGAGAGGGUGGGACGUCCAACCGGGAACGGGGCCCGGGCCAGACUGCUAAGGGGGGCCGGCGGUGGGAAUAUUGCACAAUGGGCGCAAGCCUGAUGCAGCGACGCCGCGUGAGGGAUGGAGGCCUUCGGGUUGUGAACCUCUUUCGCCAGUGAAGCAGGCCUGCCUCGUUUGUGGGUGGGUUGACGGUAGCUGGAUAAGAAGCGCCGGCUAACUACGUG